UGCUUGUGUUGUCAAACGGAUGCACCACCACCGCCGCAUUGCUAUUGUGCAUGCUUUGUGACCGAUUCAAGAAACAAGUCUCCGUGAUAUUGAAUAAAAAUUAGAAAGAUGUUCAAAUGUCCGAUCAAACAUUAAUAUACGUGAGAAAUAUUAUACUGUAUAGUGAAAUUAAUACUUCAUUUUAAAGUGAAUGUUGUCUUUUGUUUCGUCGUAUAUUAUUGUCUAAUUCUAUGUUUCUAUUAAAAAUA
rnacentral:lncRNA from 1 species